UUGAUUCAGGUGAUGGAUUUUGGCGUGACACAAAAAGAGUAGCAAAACCAAGAAAAGAAAACGAGAAAGAAAGAGGGAUCUCAUAUCUUUCACAACCACACUGCAGCAAAAAGCAUUUAUACCAUUCAUAACAUGAAGCUCGGUAUAUUUUAAGCAAUACUUUUACAAACACUGACCACUAUCAACGGCCUGUCAAGGGAGCAGAUUCCGUGGUUGAUGCCGAGCAGGCUAACAUGUUAAGCAGCGAACUAUCUGACAUGCCAAUAUCAUCAAAGCCUUCCUUCCCAAUAGCUGAAAUUUCGGCUUGCCAACCAUCUCCAGUCAUCCCAGGAAGGGGAGCC
rnacentral:lncRNA from 1 species